UUCUUGCUCUUAGUAUUUUUAUAUAUUUGGAAAACAUCUUCCGUGAAGUUUCAAGACUUUUGGAGCUGUGCAGAAUAGGUCUCUAAUAUUUGCUCCUUUUCCAGCCCAGAAUCCCAGCUGCCGGCAUUCUCCCUCUUUAUGUAAACCUUGUAAAAUAAUUGAGAAUAGGCAUAAGUAUUGUGACAUAAUGUGUAAUACCAACCCAUAAUGCAAUAAAUAUCGAUAUGAAAGCAUGAUGCAAAAUGGACGUAUCAACUCCCCCAAGCUUAGACCUCGCUUGUCCUCAACUGAGAUGCCGAAAUCGAAAAAUAUGUCCACAUGUUUAGAGAUAGAGGGGUCGAUAAAAAUAAAAUACGGACAUGAGGGCGUCAUGAUCAUUCUUAUAACAACAACUUAUAUAAUUCUUCUCAAAUAAUUUCUUAUGCUACAGUAAUAAUUCAAUCACAAUAUCAAGUAUGAAUCGUAAACUUCAUUGAAAACUAACAAAGUGCAAUCUCAGUCAUUGAAGCAAUUGCAAUUUAUCAUAACAUAGGAAAGAGUCAAUGUAUAAGAGCUUUUCAGCAAGUCCACAUACUAAACUAUCAUAUAAUCUUUCACAAUUGCUCACACUCACGCAAUACUUACGGGUAUGGAGUUUUAAUCAGACACAGAGAAAGAUAGGGGCUUAUAGCUUUGCCUCCCAAUGUUUUACAUCAAGGGUAAUGUCAACAGUAAUAGUUCAUGAAAACUCAAAUCCAAUUAGCCAUACAUACCAGGAUCUUUCCAACAUAUUGUGCUUGCCAAAGGAUAAAAUGUAAAAAGAAAGGGUGAAGAUCACCAUGACUCUUAUGCACUAUAGGAGAUAAAAGUAAAAGAUAGGCCCUUCGCAGAGGGAAGCAGAGGUUGCCAUGCGCUUUUAUGGUUGGAUGCGAAAAAUCUUAAUGCGAAAGAACAUCACUUUAUAUUGCCACUUGUGAUAUGGACCUUUAUUAUGUAGUCUGUCGCUUUUAUUACUUCCGUAUCACAGGAUCGUAUAAAGCUUAUUUCCUCCACACCAAUCAAUCAUACAUAUUUAAAGAGCAGUUUUAUUGCUUUGCACCGAUGACAACUUACUUGAAGGAUCUUAUUCAAUCCAUAGGUAGAUAUGGUGGACUCUUAUGGAAAGACUGGUUUAAGGGUAUUUGUAAGCACAAGUAGUAUCUCUACUUGGUGCAAUGAAUUUGUCUAGCAUGAGGGGGAAAGGCAAGCUCAUCAUGUUGGAAGAUCCAAGACAAUAUAAUUCAUCUCAGAUGUAAGAAACCAUAACCCAUUAUGUUUUCUUCCCUGUCCAAUGUCAACUCUUUAGCAUGUCAUAUUUUAAUGAAUGCUCACAAUCAUAAAUGAUGUCCAAGAUAGUAUAUUUAUAUGUAAAGACCUCUCUUUCUUUAUUACUUCCUAUUAAUUGCAAUGAUGACCAAAACUGUGUUUGUCAACCCUGAACAACUUUUAUUCAUCAACCUCUUUCUAUGUGAGCUCAUUACUCUCCAUAAGACUCACAUGAUCUCUUUGUUUCUUUUUAUUUCUUUCUCUUUUCUUUUAUUCCUUUAGGAUCAUGGAAAAAUAAUCAAGCCCUUGACUCAACACUAAUCUUUAUUAUAUAGCCCACGGACUCGAUUACAUAGGAGGAUAAUAAAGCAAAACUCAAAACUAGAUAAUACUAAGAAUUUUUAUUCUACUAGAUCAAGAUAUUACCAAAAGGAUCGAACUAAGAAAAACGGUAAAGAUAAAAGUGAUGGUGAUAUGAUACCGGGGCACUCCCUCAAGCUUGGCAGUUGCCAAGUGGAGUGCCCAUACCAGAUACUCAAUUCUUCUUUGUUGAUGGAGACGGUGGUGAUUUUGUUGAUGGAGUAGGCUUGUCGUCCUUCUUCCAAGGCAUAGGCUCACCAUAAUAGAAAGAUGACCGAGUCUCCGGGAUCCCCAAAUCUGCAGCCAAACUCAUCCUUUUGAAUCUAUAUUCAUACUCACAGUUUUGGUUUUGCAGGUCAUAGAUUUGAGCUUGAAGGUGCUCAAUUUUCUCGUGAAGCUUGAAGAUGGUCUCCCCGAUGUUGUCGGCAUCCAGCUUGUGUUUGUUGGUGAAUUCUGCGAUCAUCAUGUGGUUGGAGUUGAGUCCACGCUCCACCAUCCCCUGACACUUGAAAACUUGUUGCUCCAUUGUUUCGAGCCUCGUCUCCAUGUUUCCGGUCCCGUUCGGCCCCUCAACAUCACGGAUGUGCAGCAACCCAUCACGCAUCUCAAUGGUUUGAGGGUGUCGACUGCACCUCCGCGAGGUAUGGGUUGAUGACCUUCUCAAAGAACUUGUCCUUGGGAGCACUUGGAGAUGCCAUGAUAAUCUAGAUCCGUCAGAAAAACAGCUCGAAACAAAGACAGGAGAUUUUUGCAUGAUACGGGAGUCAAAACCCCCGGGAGAUUAUAUAAUGAAUUUUUACUGACCAAAAUACGUGUCAUGUACGAAAACGGAGUCCGGAGAGCACAUGAGGUGCCCACGAGGUAGGGGGCGUGCCCACUAGGGUAGGGCGCGCCCUCCACCCUCGUGGAGGCCUCGUGUCCUUCCCGGACUGGUUCUUAUUUUUCUGUUUUUCUAAAUAUUCCAAAACGGGAAAUAUUGCCUUAAAAACUGUUUUGGAGUCGGUUUACUAACCGUACCACAUACCUAUUCCUUUUCGGAGUCUGAAACGUUCUGGAAAGUGUCCCUUAUGUAUUCCUCCGGGGUUACGGUUUCAAUAACAUUGCUUUCAACAUUUAUGGGAUUACCUGAGAUAUAAUGUUUGAUUCUUUGACCGUUCACCACUUUCGCAUUUGUGCCUUCGAAGUUGUUGAUUUUUAUGGCACCGGAAUGGUAGACCUCCUCGAUAACGUAAGAACCUUCCCAUUUAUAGAGAAGUUUUCCUGCAAAAAAUCUUAAACGAGAGUUGUAUAGCAAUACAUAAUCACCUACAUUAAAACCAUGCUUUUGUAUCCUUUUUUCAUGCCAUCUUUUUACUUUUUCUUUAAACAACCUGGCAUUUUCGUAGGCUUGGGUUCUCCAUUUAUCAAGUGAGCUAAUAUCAAAUAACCUCUUCUCACCGGCAAGUUUAAAAUCAUAAUUAAGUUCUUUAAUAGCCCAAUAAGCCUUGUGUUCUAGUUCGAGAGGUAAGUGACAUGCUUUUCCACACACCAUUUUAUACGGAGACAUACCCAUAGGAUUUUUAUAUGCAGUUCUAUAGGCCCAUAAUGCAUCAUCUAGUUUCUUGGACCAAUUCUUUCUAGACCUAUUAAUAGUCUUUUGCAAAAUUAAUUUGAGUUCUCUAUUACUCAAUUCUACUUGACCACUAGACUGAGGGUGAUAAGGAGAUGCAAUUCUAUGAUUAACAUCAUAUUUAGCAAGCAUUUUACGGAAAAGCACCAUGAAUAAAAUGUGAACCACCAUCAGUCAUUAAAUAUCUAGGGACUCCAAAUCUUGGAAAAAUUACUUCUUUAAGCAUUUUAAUAGAAGUGUUAUGAUUAGCACUACUAGUUGGAAUAGCUUCUACCCCCUUAGUAACGUAAUCAACAGCAACUAAAAUAUGUGUAUAUCCAUUAGAGGAAGGAAAAGGUCCCAUAUAGUCAAAGCCCCAAACAUCAAAUGGUUCAAUAACAAGUGAAUAGUUCAUAGGCAUUUCUUGACAUCUACUAAUAUUACCAAUUCUUUGACAUUCAUCACAAGAUAAGACAAACUUACGGGCAUCCUUGAAGAGAGUACCUUAUGUGCAGUUUUAUCUCCAGCAUGGUGUCCUCCAUUAGCUUCGGAGUGACACUUGCGUAGGAUCUGUUCCUGUUCAUGCUCAGGUACACAACGUCUAACAACACCAUCCACUCCUUCUUUAUAAAGAUGUGGGUCAUCCCAAAAGUAAUGCCUCAAAUCAUAGAAGAACUUUUUCUUUUGCUGGUAUGUGAAACUAGGUGGUAUAAAGAUAGCAGCAAUGUAAUUAGCAUAAUCAGCAUACCAUGGAGCAGUAUGAGAAGCAUUUAUGACAUUUAAUUGCUCAUUAGGAAAGCUAUCAUCAAUAGGUAGUGGGUCAUCAAGCACAUUUUCUAACCUAGACAAGUUGUCUACAACGGGGUUCUCAGCUCCUUUUCUAUCAACGAUAUGGAAAUCAAAUUCUUAUAGCAAGAUAACCCAUCUAAUAAGUCUAGGUUUAGCAUCUUUCUUUUCCAUAAGAUAUUUAAUAGAAGCGUGAUCAAUGUGAACAAUUACUUUAGAAUGAACAAUAUAAGGUGUGAACUUAUCACAAGCAAAUACAACUGCUAAGAAUUCUUUUUCAGUAGUAGCAUAAUUUCUUUGAGCAUUGUCUAGAGUUUUACUAGCAUAUUGAAUAACAUUUAGUUUCUUAUCAACUCUUUGUCCUAGAACAACACCUACAGCAUAAUCACUAGCAUCACACAUAAUUUCAAGAGUAAAUUCCGAUCAGGUGGCUGGACAAUAGGUGCAGAGCUCAAUGCUUUCUUUAGUAUUUCAAAUGCUUCUACACAAUCAUCAUAAAAAACAAAUGGUAUAUCUUUUAGUGAUAAAUUAGUCAGAGGCCGAGAAAUUUUUGAGAAGUCCUUAAUGAACCUCCUAUAAAAACCGGCAUGACCAAGGAAACUUCUUAUACCUUUGAUGUCCUUGGGACAUGGCAUCUUUUCAAUAGCAUCAACCUUGGCUUUAUCAACUUCAAUACCUCUUUUAGAAACUUUAUGCCCCAAGACAAUACCUUCAUUAAUCAUAAAGUGGCACUUUUCCCAAUUCAAGACAAGAUUAGUUUCUUCACAUCUCUGCAAAACUCGAUCAAGGUUGCUCAAGCAAUCAUCAAAAGAAGAUCCAUAGACAGAAAAGUCAUGCAUUAAAAGCUCACAAAUCUUUUCACAAAAGUCAGGGAAUAUAGCCAUCAUGCUUCUUUGAAAGGUAGCAGGUGCAUUACAUAAACCAAAAGGCAUACGUCUAUAAGCAAAAGUACCAAAAGGGCAUGUAAAUGUAGUCUUUGAUUGAUCUUUGGCUGACACAAGUAUUUGAGAGAAACCAGAAUAACCAUCUAGAAAGCACAAAACUGUAUGUUUGGAAAAUCUUUCUAGCAUUUGAUCGAUAAAAGGUAAGGGGUAAUGAUCCUUGUUGGUAUCCUUAUUUAAUUUGCGGAAAUAAAUUACCAUCCUAUAACCAGUAAUAAUUCUUUGAGGAAUCAAUUCAUCUUUAUCAUUAGAAACAACAGUAAUACCUCCCUUCUUAGGGACACAAUGGACAGGACUUACCCACUGACAAUCAGCAACGGGAUAAAUUAUACCUGCCUCAAGGAGCUUUAGAUCCCCUUUCUUACCACUUCUUUCAUUUUAGGAUUCAGCCGGCAUUGAUGAUCACGAACUGGUUUAGCAUCUUCUUCCAAAUUAAUUUUAUGUUUACAUAGAGUGGGACUAAUGCCCUUAAGAUCAUCAAGAGUAUACCCAAUAGUAGCACCGUGCUUCUUCAGAGUUUUCAAUAAUCUCUCUUCUUCAUGUUCUGAAAGGUUAGCACUAAUAAUAACAGGAUAUAUCUUUUUCUCAUCAAGAUAAGCAUAUUUAAGAGUACAAGUAACGGUGUAAGCUCAAACACGGGAUCACCCUUGGGUGGAGGAGGAUCCCCUAGGAUUUCAACAGGUAAAUUAUUUUUCAGAAUAGGUUCAUGUUUAAAGAAUACUUCAUCUAAUUCCCUUCUUUCAUUCAUAAACAUGUCAUUUUCAUGGUCUAGCAAAUAUUGUCCUAAAGGAUCACUAGGAAGUACGGCAAUAGAAGCAAGACCAAUAAUUUCAUCCUUACUAGGUAAUUCUUCUUCACGGUGUUGUCUACUAAAUUUAGAAAAAAUAAAUUCAUGAGUCGUAUCAUCUAAACCGACAAUAACAACAUCUCUUUUGCAAUCUAUGGAAGCAUUAACAGUAUUUAAGAAGGGUCUACAAAAUAUAAUGGGACAAAAGCUAUCUUGUGGGGAACCAAGAACAGGAAAAUCAGCAGGAUAUUUAGUUUUCCCACACAAGACUUCAACAUCUCUAACAAUUCACAUUGGUGAAAUAGUAUCUUUAUUGGCAAGUUUAAUUGUGACGUCAAUAUCUUCUAUUUCAGCAGGUGCAAUCUCAUGCAUAACUUCUUGGUAUAAGGAAUAAGGUAUUGCACUAGCACUAGCACCCAUAUCACAUAAGCCAUGAUAACAAUGAUCUCCUAUUUUAACAGAAAUAACAGGCAUGCCUACCAUAGGUCUAGGUUUAUCUUUAUCACAUGGUUUAGCAAUUCUAGCACUUUCAUUACAGAAAUAAAUAACAUGCCCACCAAUAUUAUCAGAUAAGAGAUCUUUAACAAUAGCAAUAUUAGGAUCAACUUUAACUUGCUCAGGAGGUGUAUAUGUUUUAAUAUUGCUUUUACGAACUACAAUUGAAGCUUUAGCAUGAUCCUUUAUCAUAACAGGGAAAGGUGGUUUCCCAACAUAAGAAGUACGAACAAUAGGAUCAUUAUAAGUGAUAGUAUUUUCUUCAAUUUUAAUAGGUGCAGCUACUUUUACUUCUGUGGGAGGAUGAUAUUUAAAACACUUCUCCUUCGGGAGAUCAACAUAAGUAGCAAAAGAUUCAUAGAAAGAAGCUACUAUCUCAGAGUCAAGUCCAUAUUUAGUGCUAAAUUUACGAAAAAUAUCGGUAUCCAUAAAAGAUUUAACACAAUCAAAACUAGGUGUCAUACCUGGCUCCUUACCAUUAUCGAGGUCCCAAUCUUCGGAGUUGCGUUUAAUUCUUUCCAAUAAAUUCCAUUUGAAUUCAAUAGUCUUCAUCAUAAAAGAGCCAGCACAAGAAGUAUCAAGCAUGGUGCGAUUGUUACCAGAAAGCCGAGAAUAAAAUUUUUCAAUAAUCAUUUCUCUUGAGAGCUCAUCAUUGGGGCAUGAAUAUAACAUUGAUUUAAGCCUCCCCCAAGCUUGAGCGAUGCUUUCUCCUUCGCGAGGCCAAAAAUUAUAUAUGUAAUUGCGAUCACGACGAACAAGAUGCAUAGGAUAAAACUUCUGAUGAAAUUCCAAUUUCAAUCGUUUGUAAUUCCAUGACCUCAUAUCAUCACAUAGCCUAUACCACGUCGAUGCAUCUCCCGUCAAAGAUAAAGGGAAGACCUUCUUCUUAACAACAUCUCCGGGUACACCUGCAAACUUAAAUAAUCCACAAACUUCAUCCACAUAUAUCAGAUGUUCAUCAGGAUGUUUUGUUCCAUCUCCUAAAAAAGGAUUAGCUAGCAGUUUUUCUAUCAUACCCGCAGGAACUUCAAAGCAAGAAUUUUCAUUUUCAUUUUCAUUUUAAGAAGGUUCAGUAGGUUGAGGAGCAACUCUUUGCUCUACUGGUCGGGGUGAAGAUACCCCGAACAAGCCCCUCAGAGGAUUACUUUCCAUAGUAACAAGUGGCAGUAAAUUUCAGCACACUAUAUAAAUUUUUCCUUACCAAAUUCCACCUACCAAAGGCGCUUCACUCCCCGACAACGGCACCAGAGAAGAGUCUUGAUGACCCACAAGUAUUGGGGAUCUAUUGUAGUCCUUUCGAUAAGUAAGAGUGUCGAACCCAACAAGGAGUAGAAGGAAAUGAUAAGCGGUUUCCAGCAAGGUAUUCUAUGCAAGUACUGAAAUAAGUAGAUAGUUUUGUGAUAGGAUAAUUUGUAAUGAGCACCAAGUAACAAAAGUAAAUAAAGUGCAGCAAGGUGGCCCAAUCCUUUUGUAGCAGAGGACAAGCCUCGACAAACUCUUAUAUGACGUAAAGCGCUCCCGAGGACACAUGGGAAUAUCGUCAAGCUAGUUUUCAUCACGUUCACAUGAUUCGCGUUCGGUACUUUGAUAAUUUGGUAUGUGGGUGGACCGGUGCUUGCGUGCUGCCCUUAAUUGGACAAGCAUUCCACUUAUGAUUAACCUCUAUUGCAAGUAUCCGCAACUACAACAAAAGUAUUAAGGUAAACCUAACCAUAGCAUUAAACAUAUGGAUCCAAAUCAGCCCCUUACGAAGCAACGCAUAAACUAGGGUUUAAGCUUCUGUCACUCUAGCAGCCCAUCAUCUACUUAUUACUUCCCAAUGCCUUCCUCUAGGCCCAAAUAAUGGUGUAGUCGACGUUCACAUAACACCACUAGAGGAGAGACAACAUACAUCUCAUCAAAAUACCGAAUGAAUACCAAAUUCACAUGACUACUAAUAGCAAGACUUCUCCCAUGUCCUCAGGAACAAAAGUAACUACUCACAAAUCAUAAACAUGUUCAUAAUCAGAGGGGUAUUGAUAUGCAUAUAUGAUCUGAACAUAUGAUUUUCCACCAAUUAAACCAACUAGCAUCAACUACAAGGUGUAAUUAACACUUCUAGCAACCUACUAGCACCAAUCCCGGACUUAGAGACAACAAUUGGAUACAAGAGAUGAACUAGGGUUUUGAGAUGAGAUGGCGCUGAUGAAGAUGUUGAUGGAGAUUUCCCUCUCCCGAUGAUAGGAGCGUUGGUGAUGAUGAUGGCGAUGAUUCCCCCCUAUGAGAGGGAAGUUUCCUCGGCAGAACAGCUCCGCCAGAGCCCUAGAUUGGUUCCGCCAAGGUUCCGCCUCGUGGCGGCGGAUUUUCGUCUAAGAAGAUGGCUUAUAAUUUUUUUUCAAAGAAAGACUCCAUAUAGCAGAAGAUGGCCACCGGAGGGCCACUAGGGGGGCCACGAGGUAGGGGCGCGCCCAGGGGGUAGGGCGCGCCCCCACCCUCGUGGGCAGGUUGUGGCCCCCCUGGUGAAGUUCUUGCUCUCAGUAUUUUUUAUAUAUUUGGAAAGCAUCUUCCGUGAAGUUUCAGGACUUUUGGAGCUGUGCAGAAUAGCUCUCUAAUAUUUGCUCCUUUUCCAGCCCAGAAUCCCAGCUGCCGGCAUUCUCCCUCUUUAUGUAAACCUUGUAAAAUAAGAGAGAAUAGGCAUAAGUAUUGUGACAUAAUGUGUAAUAACAG
rnacentral:lncRNA from 1 species